UACGGAGGGUGCGAGCGUUGUCCGGAAUCACUGGGCGUAAAGGGCGCGUAGGCGGCGCGGGUAGUCAACGGUGAAAGCUCAGGGCUCAACCCUGAGUCGGCCGUCGAUACUCCCGUGCUUGAGCACUGUAGAGGCAGGUGGAAUUCCGGGUGUAGCGGUGGAAUGCGUAGAGAUCCGGAAGAACACCGGUGGCGAAGGCGGCCUGCUGGGCAGUAGCUGACGCUGAUGCGCGACAGCGUGGGGAGCAAACAGG
rnacentral:rRNA from 1 species